rnacentral:tRNA from 1 species
GCAUUGGUGCUUCAGUGGUAGAAUUCUCGCCUUCCAUGUGGGAGACCUGGGUUUGAUUCCCAGCCAAUACA